UACGUAGGGGGCAAGCGUUGUCCGGAAUCAUUGGGCGUAAAGCGCGUGUAGGCGGCUCGAUAAGUCUGCUGUGAAAGUCCAGGGCUCAACCCUGGGAUGCCGGUGGAUACUGUCGAGCUUGAGUCCGGAAGAGGCGAGUGGAAUUCCUGGUGUAGCGGUGAAAUGCGCAGAUAUCAGGAGGAACACCUAUGGCGAAGGCAGCUCGCUGGGACGUGACUGACGCUGAGACGCGAAAGCGUGGGGAGCGAACAGG
rnacentral:rRNA from 1 species